AGCAGCCGCGGUAAUUCCAGCUCCAAUAGCGUAUAUUAAAGUUGUUGCAGUUAAAAAGCUCGUAGUUGAAUUUCGGGGUUAGUAGGUUGGUCAUGCCUCUGGUAUGUACUGGUCUCACUGAUUCCUCCUUCCUGAUGAGCCGUAAUGCCAUUAAUUUGGUGUUGCGGGGAAUUUGGACUGUUACUUUGAAAAAUUAGAGUGUUUAAAGCAAGCUAACGCUUGAAUACAUUAGCAUGGAAUAAUGAAAUAGGACGUUCGAUCCUAUUUUGUUGGUUUCUAGGAUUGACGUAAUGAUUAAUAGGGAUAGUUGGGGGCAUUAGUAUUCAAUUGUCAGAGGUGAAAUUCUUGGAUUUAUUGAAGACUAACUACUGCGAAAGCAUUUGCCAAGGAUGUUUUCAUUAAUCAAGAACGAAAGUUAGGGGAUCGAAGACGAUCAGAUACCGUCGUAGUCUUAACCAUAAACUAUGCCGACUAGGGAUCGGAUGAUGUUUAAUUUUUUAAUGUACUCAUUCGGCGCCUU
rnacentral:misc_RNA from 1 species